CCCUAGUAACUGCGAGGAAGCGGGAAAAGCUCAAAUUUGAAAUCUGGCGGUGUUUUUACUGUCCGAGUUGUAAGCUAGAGAAGUGCAGCCUGCGCUGAACCGUGUAUAAGUCUUCUGGAAUGGGGCAUCAUAGAGGGUGAGAAACCCGUCUUUGACACGGAGUACCAGUGCAUUGUGGUUGUGCGCUCAACGAGUCGAGUUGUUUGGGAAUGCAGCUCUAAAUGGGUGGUAAAUUCCAUYUAAAGYUAAAUAUUGGCGAGAGACCGAUAGCGAMCAAGUACCGUGAGGGAAAGAUGAAAAGAACUUUGGAAAGAGAGUUAAAAAGUAUGUGAAAUUGUUGAAAGGGAAACAUUUGAAGUCAGAGAUAUUGACUGGGGAUCAACUUGGGAAAAUAGCUGAGUGUAAUUCCUGGUUAAUGGGCCAACAUCAGUUUUUGACUGCUAGAGAAAGGCCAAGGGAAUGUGGCACCUAUGGGUGUGUUAUAGCUCUUGGUUGUAUGUAGUGGUUAGGACUGAGGAAAGCAGCGUGCCUUAUGGAGGGGUUUCGACCACAUUCACGCUUAGGAUGUUGGCAAUAAUGGCUUUAAGUGACCCGUCUUGAAACACGGACCAAGGAGUCUAACAUGCAUGCGAGUAUUUGGGUGGAAAACCCUAAUGCACAAUGAAAGUGAAAGUUGAGAACCCUACUGUGGGGGGCAUCGACGCCCGGACCAGAACUAUUGGGACGGAUCUGCGGUAGAGCAUGUAUGUUGGGACCCGAAAGAUGGUGAACUAUGCCUGAAUAGGGUGAAGCCAGAGGAAACUCUGGUGGAGGCUCGUAGCGAUUCUGACGUGCAAAUCGAUCGUCGAAUUUGGGUA
rnacentral:rRNA from 1 species